UAUUGGUCAAUGGACGCAAGUCUGAACCAGCCAUGCCGCGUGAAGGAUGAAGGUCCUCUGGAUUGUAAACUUCUUUUAUAUGGGAAGAAAUCCUCGAAAUCUUUCGGGGUUGACGGUACCAUAGGAAUAAGCACCGGCUAACUCCGUGCCAGCAGCCGCGGUAAUACGGAGGGUGCAAGCGUUAUCCGGAUUCACUGGGUUUAAAGGGUGCGUAGGAGGGCAGGUAAGUCAGUGGUGAAAUCUCCAAGCUUAACUUGGAAACUGCCGUUGAUACUAUCUGUCUUGAAUACCGUGGAGAUGAGCGGAAUAUGUCAUGUAGCGGUGAAAUGCUUAGAUAUGACAUAGAACACCAAUUGCGAAGGCAGCUCGUUACACGAAUAUUGACUCUGAGCACGAAA
rnacentral:rRNA from 1 species